rnacentral:rRNA from 1 species
GAUGAACGCUAGCGGCAGGCUUAAUACAUGCAAGUUGAGGGGCAGCAUGAUAUACGCGAGUAUAUUGAUGGCGACCGGCGGACGGGUGAGUAAUAGGUAGGAGACCUACCUCAUACAGGGGGAUAGCAUAGAGAAAUCUGUGGUAAUACCCCAUGAGGUUAUAUGAAUAGAGGCAUAUAAUCAAAGCAUAAGCGAUUAUGCGGUAUGAGAGGGGCCUACUGACCAUUAGCUAGUUGGUGAGGUAAGGGCUCACCAAGGCGAAGAUGGUUAGGGGUUUUGAGAGAGAGACCCCCCACAUUGGAACUGAGAGACGGUCCAAGACUCCUACGGGAGGCAGCAGUAGGGAAUAUUGGGCAAUGGGCGAAAGCCUGACCCAGCCAUGCCGCGUGAAGGAAGACGGCCUUAUCGGGUUGUAAACUUUCUUUACUACGCGAAUAGAGGUUAGUACGAAGAUACUAAGUAGGAAGGUAGUGUAGUAAAAGCAACCGGCUAACUCCGUG